ACUGGCUAUUCGUUAAUAACGGGAAAUUUGUUUUCAGGACGCCAUCUUAGCUGUUUAUUCAUUGAAAAACGGGAAAUUUAAAUUUAGGAAGCCAUCUUUGUGGACCAAAAAAAGUACGAAGUAUCGAUACCAUAACGAUUACCUGGCAGACGGCCACAUCAGGACGACUGGAAUUGCGUUUCAUGCGUGGCGCUAUUUUCGAAUUUCUGCUUCGCUUUGAAAACAUUGGCUGGGGUAAAGGAAGUAGAGUUGGCAUGUCUAUCUCAUCGUGGAUUCAUAAAGGAAGAAACAUAAAAAUCUACAUAUCCCUUGACGGGGAUCUUCACAGCCUCCGAGAGACCCCUGGAGGAUUCCGUAUACCUUGUCCCUGGGGGUGGGUCAG